UCCCUGGUGGUCCAGUGGGUGAGACUCUUCACUCCCAGUGCAGGGGGCCCGGGUUCAACCCCUGGUCAGGGAA
rfam:TPA: Bos taurus chromosome 11, whole genome shotgun sequence.